rnacentral:rRNA from 1 species
UACGGGGGGGGCAAGCGUUGUUCGGAAUUACUGGGCGUAAAGGGCUCGUAGGCGGCCAACUAAGUCAGACGUGAAAUCCCUCGGCUUAACCGGGGAACUGCGUCUGAUACUGGAUGGCUUGAGAUUGGGAGAGGGAUGCGGAAUUCCAGGUGUAGCGGUGAAAUGCGUAGAUAUCUGGAGGAACACCGGUGGCGAAGGCAGCAUCCUGGACCAACACUGACGCUGAGUGAGCGAAAGCCAGGGGAGCAAACGGG